rnacentral:tRNA from 1 species
GGGGCUUUGGCUUAGUGGCAUAAGCGCCUGCCUGGCAAGCUGGAGGUUAUGAGUUCGAUCCUGGUAACACACA